AACGAACGCUGGCGGCAUGCCUAACACAUGCAAGUCGAACGAGACCUUCGGGUUUAGUGGCCCACGGGUUCGUCACCCGUUGGAACCUGCCCUUAGGUUCGGAAUAACUCCUCGCAAGGGGUGCUAAUUCCGGAUAAUCUCUUCUGCCCAAAGAUUUAUCGCCUUUGAAUGGUCCCGCUUUUGAUUAGCUAUUUGGUAGGGUAAAAGCCUACCAAGGUGACGUUCCAUAGUUGGUCUGAGAGGAUGAUCAGCCACACUGGUACUGAGACACGGCGCAGACUCCGACGGGAGGCAGCAGUGGGGAAUAGUAGACAAGGGGCGAAAGCCUAAUCCAGGAAUGCCGCGUGAGUGAUGAAGGCCAGAGGAUAGUAAAGCUCAGUUACCCGGGAUGAUAAUGACAGUACCGGGAGAAUAAGCACCGGCUAACUACGUG
rnacentral:rRNA from 1 species